rnacentral:lncRNA from 1 species
AGUCCUCUCCACCCCAAGGUAGGCAGCUUCCCGCUCCUCGUCUUGGGACCUAAACCCAGGAAGUCAAAUGUCCUUUUCUAGCAGGUCGCCUGGUUAGAGGCCGUGGACGAAGCGGUCCAGGCACAGCCAGCUGCAGGGCGCGGCCUCGGCGGCGCUGCUCGUGGCCCUGGUCAGUGAGCGCACUCACUCCUGGACUAAGCUCUAUGCAACUCAUUUUCAUCUAGCAUUACCUCUCCAAAACCUGAAUCUCCACAAGAAAGCCACACAGCAAUUAACCAGUGUUGCAAGAACUGCUUCUGUAAUAAAGGUGGGAAGACAAAUUGAUGCAACCCUCUUGAAAAGCAAUCUGGCAAUAUGAACCAAGAGCCAUGAAAAGGCUUAUGCUAUUAUAAUUAAAUGGCUGUAAUGUUGGCUGUAAAUAUGAAAUUUUCUUUCACACACCAAUGUUUUCAAGAAUGGCAUAUUCACAUGCAGUAUGUGACGGAGUCUUACUCUGUCGCCCAGGCAGGAGUGCAAUGGCACAAUCUUGGCUCACCACAACCUCCGCCUCCUGGGUUCAAGUGACUCUCCUGCCUGGCCAUAGAAGCAAACACAAACAUAGAGGAAUUGGCUUUGGGCAGAUGGAAGGACCUCAGAGAAAAGAAACAAAGGAAAGAAAACUGGAUGGAUAAAGGUUUGUAGAAAUACUAUUCACAGGAAGCAAAUAGGAAUUCCUUAUCGCUAAACAGACACUAAGUCAAUUGGUUAUUGCUGGUGAAAAGGAUGUUUAAGCAGAGUGAGAGACUCUCAGCAAAAAAAGGUAACUGAAAGAGUGGUAAGUCAGACAAAGAAGAAAAAUGCCAAAGAAGAGGGUCAAGAACAACUCAUAUGACUCCGAAAUCCCUUACCCACAUUGGAGUUAUAAAAAGUUCAGGAGCUGGAGACAAAAGGCAGGUUCAUAAAGAGGAUUCCUUG